rnacentral:rRNA from 1 species
CCGUACGAGCGCACCCCCUAUCCUUAGUUGCCAGCACAUAAUGGUGGGGACUCUAAGGAGACUGCCGGUGAUAAACCGGAGGAAGGUGGGGACGAUGUCAAGUCAUCAUGGCCCUUAUGGGUAGGGCUACACGCGUGCUACAAUGGGCAGUACAGAGGGCUGCAAAGUCGUGAGACUGAGCGAAUCCCUUAAAACUGUUCUCAGUCCGGAUUGAAGUCUGUAACUCGACUUCAUGAAGCAGGAAUCGCUAGUAAUCGCGAAUCAGCAUGUCGCGGUGAAUACGUUCUCGGGCCUUGUACACACCGCCCGUCACAUCACGAAAGUUGGCUGUACUAGAAGUCGCCGAGCUAACCCGCAAGGGAAGCAAGCGCCUAAGGUAUGGUUGAUGAUUGGGGUGAAGUCGUAACAAGGUAGCUGUAGGAGAACCUGCGGCUGGAUCA